rnacentral:tRNA from 1 species
GGAGAGAUGUCCGAGUGGUUUAAGGAGCCGGUCUUGAAAACCGGUGACUCGUAAGAGCCGUGAGUUCGAAUCUCACUCUCUCCGCCA